rnacentral:tRNA from 1 species
GGUUGCAUAGUCUUGGGGACAUGAUAUCUGCUUUACACGCAGAGGGUCCCAAGUUCGAUCCUUGGUGCAGCCA